AGAGUUUGAUUCUGGCUCAGGAUGAACGCUGGCGGCGUGCCUAAUACAUGCAAGUCGGACGCAUCACGCAAGUGAUGAGUGGCGAACGGGUGAGUAAUACAUAAGGAACCUGGCCCUGCGAGGGGGAUAACUGCUGGAAACGGCAGCUAAGACCGCAUAGGCCCUGCAGUCGCAUGAAUGCAGGGUUAAAUAUCCUACGGGAUAGCGGAGGGAUGGACUUAUGGCGCAUUAGCUAGUUGGCAGGGUAACGGCCUACCAAGGCGACGAUGCGUAGCCGACCUGAGAGGGUGGACGGCCACACUGGGACUGAGACACGGCCCAG
rnacentral:rRNA from 1 species